rnacentral:rRNA from 1 species
UACGUAGGGUGCAAGCGUUGUCCGGAAUUAUUGGGCGUAAAGAGCUCGUAGGCGGUUUGUCGCGUCGAAUGUGAAAACCCGGGGCUCAACCCCGGGCCUGCCAUUCGAUACGGGCAGACUAGAGGUGUGGUAGGGGAGACUGGAAUUCCUGGUGGUAGCGGUGGAAUCGCGCAGAGUAUCAGGAGGAACACCGAUGGCGAAGGCAGGUCACUGGGCCGCAACUGACGCUGGAGGAGCGAAAGCAUGGGGAGCGAACAGGA